rnacentral:rRNA from 1 species
AAACCAGCACCUCAAGUGGUCAGGAUGAUUAUUGGGCCUAAAGCAUCCGUAGCCGGCUCUGUAAGUUUUCGGUUAAAUCUGUACGCUCAACGUACAGGCUGCUGGGAAUACUGCAGAGCUAGGGAGUGGGAGAGGUAGACGGUACUCGGGAGGAAGUGGUAAAAUGCUUUGAUCUCUCGAUGACCACCUGUGGCGAAGGCGGUCUACCAGAACACGUCCGACGGUGAGGGAUGAAAGCUGGGGGAGCAAACCGGAUUAGAUACCCCAGUAGUCC